GAUGAACGCUGGCGGCGUGCCUAAUACAUGCAAGUCGAGCGAACGGACGAGAAGCUUGCUUUUCUGAUGUUAGCGGCGGACGGGUGAGUAACACGUGGAUAACCUACCUAUAAGACUGGGAUAACUUCGGGAAACCGGAGCUAAUACCGGAUAAUAUUUUGAACCGCAUGGUUCAAAAGUGAAAGACGGUCUUGCUGUCACUUAUAGAUGGAUCCGCGCUGCAUUAGCUAGUUGGUAAGGUAACGGCUUACCAAGGCAACGAUGCAUAGCCGACCUGAGAGGGUGAUCGGCCACACUGGAACUGAGACACGGUCCAGACUCCUACGGGAGGCAGCAGUAGGGAAUCUUCCGCAAUGGGCGAAAGCCUGACGGAGCAACGCCGCGUGAGUGAUGAAGGUCUUCGGAUCGUGAAACUCUGUUAUUAGGGAAGAACAUAUGUGUAAGUAACUGUGCACAUCUUGACGGUACCUAAUCAGAAAGCCACGGCUAACUACGUG
rnacentral:rRNA from 1 species